UAUAAUUAUGUGAUGACGCAUAGUUCAUAUGAUCUAAACGAAAUGAAAACUAAACUUAAAUAUUUGUCUUUCGUCCCUAUCUGAAAAAACAU